rnacentral:rRNA from 2 species
CAUGCCGUAAACGAUGUCAACUAGCCGUUGGGGACCUUGAGUCUUUAGUGGCGCAGCUAACGCGAUAAGUUGACCGCCUGGGGAGUACGGCCGCAAGGUUAAAACUCAAAUGAAUUGACGGGGGCCCGCACAAGCGGUGGAGUAUGUGGUUUAAUUCGAUGCAACGCGAAGAACCUUACCUGGCCUUGACAUAUCCGGAAUCCUGCAGAGAUGCGGGAGUGCCUUCGGGAAUCGGAAUACAGGUGC